rnacentral:lncRNA from 1 species
UUUUCCUGUUCCUCCCAGUUGACUGGAAGGCUCCUUGGGCUAGUUUAAUGGCUAGCCUCUAAGGGUCUUGUGGAUGAAGGCUGUUUUCUCAGAAGGAGUGUUUUACAGUUGUAGACCCUUAUCACUAGUUGGGAGUGAAGUCUGCUGAAGCCAUCCUUUUUGCUUCAGCUGACAGUACAGUCCCGGUUUCCUGGUUGUCUACAAAGGAUGUUGGUACGCUCUGCAAUCACUUUUAGCCACGCUUGACAUGGUAUUGAU